AGUGAACGCUGGCGGUAGGCCUAUCACAUGCAAGUCGAACGGCAGCACAGUAAGAGCUUGCUCUUACGGGUGGCGAGUGGCGGACGGGUGAGGAAUACAUCGGAAUCUACUUUUUCGUGGGGGAUAACGUAGGGAAACUUACGCUAAUACCGCAUACGACCUACGGGUGAAAGCAGGGGAUCUUCGGACCUUGCGCGAUUGAAUGAGCCGAUGUCGGAUUAGCUAGUUGGCGGGGUAAAGGCCCACCAAGGCGACGAUCCGUAGCUGGUCUGAGAGGAUGAUCAGCCACACUGGAACUGAGACACGGUCCAGACUCCUACGGGAGGCAGCAGUGGGGAAUAUUGGACAAAGGGCGCAAGCCUGAUCCAGCCAUACCGCGUGGGUGAAGAAGGCCUUCGGGUUGUAAAGCCCUUUUGUUGGGAAAGAAAAGCAGCAGGUUAAUACCCCGCUGUUCUGACGGUACCCAAAGAAUAAGCACCGGCUAACUUCGUG
rnacentral:rRNA from 1 species